GACAGAGGCCACAAGCGUUAGGCGGAAUCACUGGGCUUAAAGCGUGUGUAGGCGGAUCGUUAAGUGCCUUGUGAAAUCCCACAGCUUAACUGUGGAACUGCUUGGCAUACUGGCGGUCUUGAGCCAUCUAGGGGUUGCUGGAACAAACGGUGGAGCGGUGAAAUGCGUAGAUAUCGUUUUGGAACGCCAAUGGUGAAAACAGGCAACUGGGGAUGUGCUGACGCUGAGACACGAAAGCCAGGGGAGCAAACGGG
rnacentral:rRNA from 1 species